GUUUCGUUUUCGGUAGCAAAUGCCUUAGUCUAUCUGGAGAAGGUGUCUACUAGUACUAGAAGACAGACAAGGGGAGGGGCUCCUGUGAUGGGAUCAGUCAGAUGCCUGCCUGGCCGCUCCCCCUGAGGGGACUUGGGCUCCUCUUAACAUUGGCAGGCUGGUAUAAACUUCCGGCUCAGAUCAAGCUAUGCCUGAUGCUGCCUUAAGCCUUAUGAGGUCGCCACGGAACCGCAGAAACUCCUGGAGGGCAGAGCUGUGUCUGCCAUCUUCAUCAUUGCAUUACCACCACCAAGCACAGUGCCUGGCACAAAAGAGUUGCUCAAUAAAUAAAUCAGGAUGAAUGGAUAAAUACAUGGAUAGGCACUUUGAGCUACAGAUGAGUUUAAAUACUUUGUGUUUUUCUUAGUCAAACAUGUGCAAUUAAGCAUGUGAUAAAUGAUAUGAUGACCACACCUGUGUGUUGCCUGAUGUUCUUUGCAAUCACUAAAUGAAGUCAAUUGUGCCUGUUUUGACAGUUCUGUUUUCAACCUAAUGAUCUGUUUCUUUUAACUUCUGGC
rnacentral:lncRNA from 1 species